rnacentral:rRNA from 1 species
ACAUGCAAGUCGAACGCGAAAGCCCCGCAAGGGGUUAGUAGUGUGGCAAACGGGUGAGUAACACGUGGGUGACCUGCCUUCGAGUGGGGGAUAACGUCCCGAAAGGGACGCUAAUACCGCAUGACAUCCUGCUCUUGGACGAGCGGAGAUCAAAGUUAGGGAUCGCAAGACCUGGCGCUUGAAGAGGGGCCCACGCCUGAUUAGCUAGUUGGUGGGGUAACGGCCUACCAAGGCAACGAUCAGUAGCCGGCCUGAGAGGGCGGACGGCCACACUGGGACUGAGACACGGCCCAGACUCCUACGGGAGGCAGCAGUGGGGAAUUGUUCGCAAUGGGCGCAAGCCUGACGACGCAACGCCGCGUGGAGGACGAAGAUCUUCGGGUCGUAAACUCCUGUCGAGCGGGAAGAACGCUUCCCGGGUGAAUAAUCCGGGGAAUUGACGGUACCGCUAAAGGAAGCCCCGG